UCAAAACACUUCUACUUUACCAGUACCUGAAAAGAGUUUUCGUCAGCUGAAUGAUAUAAGACAGCCUGAAGUAGUUGAAAAGAUUUUGAUUAGGCGUCAAAAGGGUAUUACUUCAGAUACCUGGUCACACCUCCAAACCCUGCAUCUGGACCAGGCAGUAUGGAAGGAAGCCUUUGCUGGGAAAGGAUGACCAGAACCCAACAUGGGAAGACCUUUCUUUCCCACCAUUUCCAUCAGUCACUCCCCCCACGGCUGGGAUGGGGCAUGAUCUUUACUCCUUCGAAACCAAGGAACAAGGAGGAAUGUGCCUCUGUCUCCAGUGUACCUCCAGUCUACCACUUUAGCCCACAUCGCUGUGUGCACCUCAAGAACCAAUAUCUGAAAAAGGCUGCUACAAACCUUACCUUCUCUGAGGAGGUGGUGUGGCAGCGAGGGCUUUCCAGCAUCCCUUUCAGCCAGUACAACUUUGACCAUCUCUAUAAUGCAGACCACAUCAUGCAGCCUACCCAGAUCAGGAGGGCCCAAUAUGAGAAACCUAUCAGCUUCAAGUUCUUGGGUUCUUCAGGUCCCUCAGCAAGGGUCACCUCCCAGGCUGUGAAGACAGAAAGCUCUGUUGAACGUAAGCAGCUGAAGGAAUCAAAGCCAGCAAGUGUAGUCCAGGAAAAACCUUGCCCUCUCAUCCCUCAUUCCUUCAGGGAUCCGGACGUGCUACGUCUGUCACUUUCUCCAGAUGUGAACCUGGAAGUGAGGGAAGCCUGGCUUCCACCUCCUGAGAAGGAGGCCAGAGCCUGGGAAGCCAUCGUGCUGGAAAAGCUGAACAAGCGCACUGCCCGAUGGAUCCAGAGCAAGCGUCCCCUAAGGUCUCGGGUAUCCCCCAACAAGUGGCAGAGCUUUCUGCACCAGCAGUACGACUGGAGCCACAUCCGGGAUGAGCUUACUUCCACCAGUGACCUGGAGCUCUUGAAACAGCUGGAAGAAGAAGAAACAGCAGAAUUUGAGGAUCAAAGUGUUACCCUGCCAAUCCAGGAGAAAAAGAAGCCAGAGCUGCUGCUUCCUGUUUACUAUAGAUUGCCCAAUUACUUGCCUCAAGUGCAGACAGGUGAACCUAUGCCUGGCAACAAUAAGACUGCUGAGGGUAUCAAAGGAAAGAACAUCUGCCAGCCCCCGAACCAGAGGUACUUUCGACAGGUGAAUCCUCGAGCUGGAAAGUUUGCUUACUCCACAGACAACACCUUUGAACAGGAAAUAUACUUUGAUAAAGUCCAGGUCAUCCACCAGAUUGGUGCAAAGAGAGACCAUAUUUUCCUGGAAAACUUCAAUAGGUACAAGAAGCAGCUCUCCAAAGUUUUCCCUGAAACCCCAGAAAGGUGGACUUCCCAGCCAGUUCCUGAAGCACCCUGCAGGCCUGUGCAAGGAGUCCCGCGCUGGAUUGCUCUGCCCACCCCAGUCAAGGAUCUGCUGCUCCAGGUGGAUGAGGAGGAUGUGCCCAUUAAGACCAGGAGGCUGAAGAAGCAGGAAAAAUCCCAAGAGAAGGCUAUGACUUGGGAACUGGUGGUGCUGCAGCGGAUGCUGCAGGAAUGGAAGACUGCCUGGGCUCUGAUUACUGAGUGGCACCAUGAGACAGUAGAGGGCCUGCUGCGGGCCUUGGGGGACAUGCAUGAUGACAUUCGGAUCCGAGCCAUCAUCACAUGUGCUACAGCUGCUUUAGAAAGGCCCCGGAUUGCCACCAGCCAAGGGGACUCAGACAAAGAGACCGUGAAGGCCCCAUCUAUCAAGGACUUGCCAGAGGUUCUACAGCCUGCCCUGGAAGCUGCUCUUUGUGAUAAAAAUGCCAAUGUGCGGAUGGCAGCAGCAGUAUGCCAAUAUGCCAUACAGUCACACAAUCCCCUUGCCCGGGACAUCAUGCAGACUGCCCUUUUAAAGGGUAACAGCGUGGACAGCUGGGCUGCAGCUCAGUGCCUGGCUCUGGAAGGUGCUGCCACAUACCCCGUGAUUAAGAGGAUCCUCCAGCAGCUGUUUAACAAGAAGAAUAAGGACACUGAGCAACAGUCUUAUAUGCUCCUGAGCCAUCUCAGUGGGGAGACAACCCUGAUACACACCAUGCUUGCUGUGGAGCUGAACAGCCACCAGUGGAAGGACCGGAUUGUGGCCUGCCAGGCUCUUGGGCGGAUCAGUGGAAAUGUCAGUUUGGAUAUGAAACAUAAGUUGAUUCAGCUGAUGCUGAGUGACUGGAAUAAGGAAGUGAGACGUGCAGCGGCCCGAGCUCUGGGGCAAAUGAGCCUUGGGAAAGAGGUGCACGACACAAUCAGAGUCAAGCUGAGUCAAGGAAAUAUCCAGGAGCGUGUGGAAGCUCUCUCCCUUAUUGGUGGGCUCAAGCUCAUGACCGCCAAGCUUCUCCCAAGUUUCCUGAAUUGCUUCUCUGAUGACUUCAUGGUAGUUCGGCGGGCAGCCUGUUUGGCAGCAGGUGCCCUGCAGAUCCGUGAUAAGAUGGUCCUUGAAUGCCUUUUGAACCUGAUAGAGAGAGAUCCUUACUGGAAAAUCAAGGCCUUUGCCAUUCAAGCUUUGGGUCAGAUUGGCCAAGUGAGUCCCCAGCUGACAGACCUCCUGCUCUGGGCCAUCCACUAUGAAGAGUCACCAGGUGUACGACUAGAAGCUUGCCGUAGCAUCCUAGCCCUCAACCUCCAAGGGGACCGGGUCAGGGACACCUUCCUAGAUGUGCUGCUCCUAGAGAACCAUGAGGCUGUUCUAAAGGAAAUUCACCAGGCCAUGAAGAUACUCAACUUAGAAAACGAAGGAAACCAAGAAAUGUUUCAGGAGAUCAAGAACAGGAUUCAAACACUAAGCCAAAAGGACUUGCUGACACAGAAAAUAUUCAGGAUGGAGAGGGCCAUAGGAAAAAUGAAGGAGGAAGCAAAACGUGUCUACUGGCAGCCCAAGGAAGGGCAUAAGCCAUUGAAACUCCAUACUUUUCUACAACAAACUUUUCAGGAUGAAGUGGUGAUUCCUGGAAAACCAUCUGAAAUUUGUGACAUUAAAGCAGUCAUAAAGCCUGUCAGGCCCCGCACACCAAAUCCGUGGUCACAGAGUCCAGUCCUGGGCCUAAACACAAGAAGCAGAGGUCAACCAUCACCUGUGAAAGAUCUACGCACUGCCCGGGAAAAAAGGAUCGUGAUGGGACCGUUUGGAUCUGACAGUCCAGAUCUCUAGCUGGGUAAAUACUCAGAGAGAAGUUUCUUCCCGGGUCAUAUCCUCUUCCCCCCGAAGGAAAGUGACACUGUUAUCACCAGAAAUAUAAAAAGCAAUAAUUUCCACCAUGAAUGCCUCACAGCUAUGGAACACAGUGAAAAAAGGACUUUGGGGGAGUAUCAGCUAACCACAAAACAAAAUCUUUCCUUCCCCUGACUCAUGUAACCCAUGUUUUUAUUUAUUCAUUUAUACAUUCCCUCCAAGUGAAAUACUGAUUCAAAAAGUAUCAUCAUGGAUAUCAAAGUUAUUUCCACUUCUAUCAAACCCGAGGAUUCUGGAAUCUGGCUACCAUGAGGCAUUUGAGACAAUAAAUAAUUCUGUACAAGUACUUUCU